GCCAGGUGCGGUGGCACACGCCUGUAAUCCCAGGGGCUCAGGAGGCUGAGACAGGAGGAUGGCAAGUUCAAAGCCAGCCUCAGCAAAAGGGAGGCACUAAGCAACUCAGUGAGACCCUGUCUCUA
rnacentral:sRNA from 1 species